AAGAUUACAAACACUACACGUAUUGCUUAAUCUUUCUUUUUUUUUUUAAUUACAUCUUUAUAAUGAAACUUCACCCCAAAAAUUGAAGCCAGUGCGGUUCAAACCACUCGAGACAUCCAACAACUCAUCGAUAAAGAUACAACAAUCCCCCUUCGUUCUCUCCCAACCAAUAGAAAAGAUUCUCCUAAAAAAUUGGAGAAUGAUUUAAAUAAUACACCAUGAAAAAUGAAUGUAACAGCAAGUAUACCUUCAAGUAACUCGCACGACUCGUGACUAACAGAUGAACCCUAAGCAAGAAUCCACGUUUGUAUUGCUCUCCACUAUGAUACAGUAACCAAAUUCAAUUCAUGCGGCCUCAAUGCUCCUUGUACAAUCUCUUGCACCGUCCGGUUUCGCCGACAAACAUCAGAAAGCUCUUCAACAGGAACCAUCAGUGAAUUGAUAUCAUUCCCAGAUGCUGCAUCUGACAAUGCUUGAAAAAAUCUAGCACGCUCCACUUCUGUGACAGCUGUCAGUGGAAUUAGUGAAACACUCUCCUUGGCCCACUCCACUGCAUUCGCUCCAUAGGCACGAGUUAGUGCCAGUAAAGCAUACAUGACCGUUUCCAAUCGAGAACUAGGGAGCGCUCCUGUUAAUGAUGCAACCAAAAUUCUGGUAAUGCUGGCACCUCGGGGAAUAAUAACACUAUCUCUGAUGGAUAAGUACUGUUCCCCCCCACUAGACUUUGCAAUAUCAAAGAUGUCAGACAAGAAGGUCAGUAUGGACUUGGAAGCCUCCCUGUGCUGUACAGUGAUACCAAUCAUAGAGCAAUCUACUAACAUCGGAAAUACAGUAGAUGGAAUAAAAAGUUGAGGACAAUAACGAAUGCAUCUUGAUGCCAAUAAAAAACAAUCAUCUGCUAUGUCUGGUCUGGCAGUGAAGUCCUUGAUAUUUGUGAGAAGACAUAUUGUACGCUUGAAAAGAGCUUCAAUCAAAAUUUUCAAGUAAUAUGCACAAGACAGAUCAGAACCAAAUAUCUUUAUAACUUCACUAGAGAGAUAAAGGAAGCAAGGCUGAUGGUGCUGUUGAUACAGGGCUUGGAUCUCUUCUAGCAUUGCUCCAAUGGUGAUUCCCAUGAACCUCCCAGAAGUUCUCACAGCAUAUUUACAAGCUCGACAAAGAGACUCCAUUGUCCGCAUGUCCCAAGCACGAAGGUCAAAGAUUGCUUUAAAGAGCGGCCAUAGCCUUUGAAUUGCAUCUGCCACAGCUUCUGGGUGAUUUACAUAUCUAAAGAUGUAAGCAAGUCGAUCAAUAUGAACGGUUAACUCACGAGCAGGCCUCUUCUCCAAUAUUUCUGGACCUUGAUUGAUAACUCCCUGUAGAGAAGUAACAACAGGCAAGCAUAGUUUCUCCAAAGCCUGCUUGGCCUGGUCUGGAGGAAGUUCUGUAAUGACCAUGCUUAAGGCUUCAACCACAUGCAAAGAAUCAUCAGCAGAAAUUCUAAAACUACCUUCCCCGAUUACUGCCCUAUGGUAUAUGGGGAAGAGAUCAUCAAAAUAUCCACAAAGCUUUCUCCGGCAAUCAUUGCAGAUGUGUCUGAAUGCCACAGCUGCAGCAGCUGCAGAAUCUUCCGAGGUCCCCAUGCCAUCCAUGAGAAUUUUCAUGACUGAAGAUAAUAAAGGCAAUCCAUCCGAUGCAGCAUCAAGCCACUUUGAAUAUGCUCCAAUUGUUAAGCAAACUGUCUGAAGCAGUUGGGGCUGAUGUGGAAGCUCUAGCAGCAAAGACAUAACCUUAGGCAUUACUUCAGCUUCAACAACUGAAACAUAAUUUGAUAUAGCCUUGAUGCAAAAUAAAGCAGCUUCUGCUAGACGCCACUCACUAUGUCCAUUUCCCCAGCAAGCUUGAGCCUCAGCAAGUUUCACAUAAAGAAUUUUCAAAGUUGCAUCACCACCUAAAACUGAUGCUGCAUCAAUUAACACGUCCGCAACAGCAUAUCUAGUCUGUUUAAAAUCCUUGAGGUCUUCAAUUGAAAGAUUUUGAUAAUCUUGGGGAUACUGAACUCGAAAGCUAACCAGGGACACAAGUGACUCAUAGGCUGACCGAAAAACUAGCAGCCUCCUCCUCCUCUCAGCUUCAAUGGACACUUCAUCACCAAAUGAAAUAUAUGAAUCCCUCUUAAUCAAGAUAACUUGAAGACUGUGCCAAAAAUUAAAUGUCAUGGAAGCAAUGUCAUAUUCUGGAUGCGAAGCAACUUCCAAUAAUGCAUUUACUAUCAUCAUUGAUUCAUCAGAUCCAGUUGCGAUCAGCUCAACAUAUGAGUCACCCAUGUCAGCAAAUAAUCGAGCAAUGGCUUUCACAUCUUCUUCAUCCAUUGAUGGAUCCCGAAGUUGCUCCUUAAGACUCAUAACUUGAGGCACAAGUACUUGAAUUAAAGGCAUCUGAACAGGAAUACCACCAGAGUUUCCUGAUGUUGUGUAGUGUAUCAAUUCAGAAACAACAUUUACAGCUGCCUCUGAAAGUAGCUCAGAAUUCAAGCUUGAGAGAGCUGUAAGAACUAAUGGGUGAGAAGCAAGCACAGAUCCAGGGAUCCCAUGCCUUAGUCGGAGCCAAGAAGCAAAUGCCUCAAGAACCUGCUCCUUAAGUUCAUUAAUUUUCAAGCAAGCUGUCAAAAUAUUAAGAGCCAACUCCAUUUGAGAAGUCAACUCCUUUUCAAAUUGGCGGCGCCUUUCUGGACGAGCAGCUAUCUUAUAGUUGAAUACUUCCUCAGGCAAAACUGUAAGUAGCUCCAAGAAUCCUGGUAUAUAUUCUGGAUGAGAAUUCAUCUCAUCCCUAAGCCAAUUCACUAUGCCACCAUCACCCCAAACCUCUGCAGGAACUUGCACAGCCAAUGCAGCAACUGCAAUGCUAAUCUGAGUCCUGACUUUAGGGGGGCCCCUAUGAAAUUUUUUCAGCAAAGUAUUUAAGGAACUUCGUAAUGGUCUAAAGGCUUCAGAAGGCAGUUCUUCAAAAUCUCUUUGUACCUUGCUUCUAAGGGUUUGAGAACAAAAGAUUAAGGUUUCCAGAUUGCUAGUGGGAUCAUGAAGCAAAUUAUCAGCAACCUGCCAGGCAUCGAUGGAGCGUUGAAUGUCUUGUAGAUAUUCAUCUGCUUUCGAACGAACCUCAUCUUGCGGAUGAUGAUACAGUGCGUUUAGGGCUUCUUUCACCGCAUUUUGAUGAUCCAUAGCUUCGAUUAAAAAA
rnacentral:misc_RNA from 1 species